GGCUGGUCUGAGGGUAAUGAGUUAUUUCAAUUGAUCGUUCACAGUCAGUUACAGAUAAAACUCCUUGUUCUACUCUUUCCCUGCUUCUCACUACUGCACAUGACUAGUAAAA
ensembl:misc_RNA Y_RNA Y RNA